CCUACGGGUGACAGCAGUGGGGAAUCUUGCACAAUGGGGGAAACCCUGAUGCAGCGACGCCGCGUGAGUGAAGAAGUAUUUCGGUAUGUAAAGCUCUAUCAGCAGGGAAGAAAAUGACGGUACCUGAUUACGAAGCCCUGGCUAACUACUGGCCAGCAGCCGCGGUAAUACGUAGGGGGCAAGCGUUAUCCGGAUUUACUGGGUGUAAAGGGAGCGUAGACGGCCAGACAAGUCAGAUGUGAAAACCCAGGGACCAAACCUGGGACUGCAUUUGAAACUGCCAUACUGGAGUGCCGGAGAGGUAAGUGGAAUUCCUAGUGUAGCGGUGAAAUGCGUAGAUAUAAGGAGGAACACCAGUGGCGAAGGCGGCUUACUGGACGGUAACUGACGCUGAGGCUCGAAAGCGUGGGGAGCAAACAGGAUUAGAUACCCGUGUAGUC
rnacentral:rRNA from 1 species